rnacentral:lncRNA from 1 species
UAUCCUUAUCUUGUUGCAUAAUUGUGUCUGCCAAUACUGUCUAAAGAAUCUCCUCCGUCAGUAUCUCCUUCUGGGUCUUCUUCUGAAUUAUUAUCUUCAUUCAGAUCUUUUUCUUGUUCAAUCUUCUUUUUUCCUUUAUUUUUCUUUUUAAUUUGCAAUUUCUUUUUCUUCGUAGUGCUUUGUUUAACUUGUUGCUGAAUCUCCUCAAUCUUGUCAAGCAUUUCUUUAAUCUUUCUAAUAUCUGACUGAGAAAUUUGUUCUGGAUCCUGAGCUGAUUGGAAUGAUCCUGGAAAAUUAAUUGGGCUUUUCUGUUUAAGGUCUAUUGGGCUUAUAAUUCUAGUAGCAUAAUUAUCAGACUUCUGUAUCUGUUCUUCUGAAUUAAAUGUAACAGGAUUUUCAGCCUGUUGAGUCUGAGAAGUAGAGGAAUCAACAGUCCUCUGA